rnacentral:tRNA from 2 species
GGACAGGUGGCAGAGCGGUUGAAUGCACCGGUCUUGAAAACCGGCGAGGAUGCAAGUCCUCCGUGGGUUCGAAUCCCACCCUGUCCGCCA